rnacentral:rRNA from 1 species
CAGUAGCCGCGGUAAUACGUAAGGUGCAAGCGUUAAUCGGAAUUACUGGGCGUAAAGCGUGCGCAGGCGGUUUGUUAAGACAGAUGUGAAAUCCCCGGGCUCAACCUGGGAACUGCAUUUGUGACUGGCAAGCUAGAGUCUGGCAGAGGGUGGUGGAAUUCCGCGUGUAGCAGUGAAAUGCGUAGAUAUGCGGAGGAACACCGAUGGCGAAGGCAGCCCCCUGGGCCAACACUGACGCUCAUGCACGAAAGCGUGGGGAGCAAACAGGAUUAGAUACCCCCGUAGUCCCUGUCUCUUAUAC